AACGAACGCUGGCGGCAGGCUUAACACAUGCCAGUCGAACGCCCCGCCAGGGGAGUGGCAGACGGGUGAGUAACGCGUGGGAACAUACCCUUUUCUACGGAAUAGCUCUGGGAAACUGGAAUUAAUACCGUAUACGCCCUACGGGGGAAAGAUUUAUCGGGGAAGGAUUGGCCCGCGUUGGAUUAGCUAGUUGGUGGGGUAAAGGCCUACCAAGGCGACGAUCCAUAGCUGGUCUGAGAGGAUGAUCAGCCACAUUGGGACUGAGACACGGCCCAAACUCCUACGGGAGGCAGCAGUGGGGAAUAUGGGACAAUGGGCGCAAGCCUGAUCCAGCCAGGCCGCGUGAGUGAUGAAGGCCUUAGGGUUGUAAAGCUCUUUCACCGAUGAAGAUAAUGACGGUAGUCGGAGAAGAAGCCCCGGCUAACUUCGU
rnacentral:rRNA from 1 species